rnacentral:rRNA from 1 species
AUUGAACGCUGGCGGCAUGCCUUACACAUGCAAGUCGAACGGCAGCACGGGAGCAAUCCUGGUGGCGAGUGGCGAACGGGUGAGUAAUAUAUCGGAACGUGCCCAGUCGUGGGGGAUAACGUAGCGAAAGCUACGCUAAUACCGCAUACGAUCUAUGGAUGAAAGCGGGGGAUCGCAAGACCUCGCGCGAUUGGAGCGGCCGAUAUCAGAUUAGGUAGUUGGUGAGGUAAAGGCUCACCAAGCCGACGAUCUGUAGCUGGUCUGAGAGGACGACCAGCCACACUGGGACUGAGACACGGCCCAGACUCCUACGGGAGGCAGCAGUGGGAAUUUUGGACAAUGGGCGCAAGCCUGAUCCAGCAAUGCCGCGUGCAGGAUGAAGGCCUGUGUAACU